AGCGGCCUUGGAGCGCAGGGCCACCAGCUUCUUCUUGGCCACGUAGAAGGCCUUGGCCUUGGCCUUGCGCUUCUCCUCCAGCUCGGCAACGGCGGCCUGGUGCUUCCAGCCCACCUAUGGAUGAAGAGGGAGGCACAGGGUUAGCGGCGCGCCGGCGGGGAAAAGCGUCCGUUAUGGUGUGAUCGUCCGUGGUGGCGUAGGGACGGCUGGCGGCUGCGCGCUCAGGUGCUGGACUGCAUAGCUGUCCACGCCAAGUGCGUCCGAGGCGACUUGCUCCGCCGAGCUCCAGUCCGUUAGCUGCCGGCACGGCGUGGCGUUCGCCCCGUCCUCCCUCCGCCACAGCCGCUGCAUGCCUGGGGCUUUCUGACCCGACUGUCUCCACAGCGCCCCUGUGCUGCCGCCGCCUGCCGCCGCCCGCGUUUAACUUAAGCAGCAAUCGCCAGUAGCUCCAUUGCGCCUCGCCGCUUCGCCGAGUGUUAAUCACCAGCUGUCGGCUGGUCCAUCCGAGGAGCGUCUCAACGCCGACGCAUCAGACACCGCGACGCUCCCCCAAGCCGCAGGUGUGCAUUCCCUCCUUCCGCACCAUUCGCAGCCGCUGGUCUCCCCUUCGCCUGCGGUCACUGCCCACCCUCCCGGCACCCGCCGCCCUUGUCUUCCAGCAGGCCGACUCACCGAGGCGGACAGGUCGCCCAGCUUGCAGUUCCGGUGGCCGUGCUGCAGGCGCAGGACCUUCAGGGCGUCGGGCACCACCAGGCGCUUCACCUUGUCGUAAGGGUGGGGGAUACCCUCGAACGCCUUGAGGCGCUCCAGGGCAGCGGCACCGCGAGCGGUCUUGUGGGGGAUCAUGCUGCAGGCAGGGCCGCGGGAAGGAGGCAGCGGCAGGAGAGGGAGCAGACACACAUGAGGACAGCGCACGCAAAAGUGCAUGUAACAUGCAUGGGCCGACCGUAACCCCAAGACGCAGCCGAACGGGCUCACGCGGGGACCGGCAGCUGAGAGCGCUGGUGGUUCUUGCCGGCGGCUGCCCAGCUGCUGAGCUGCGCUUGAACUGAUCCGUGCUGCCCUGCGCUGCAACCAUGGCGCAGUGCCGAGCCCGAAAGGUGUGUCUGAGCCUCCUGGCGAGGUGCCGCCACAGACACUGGCAAACUGAUGCGCUUGGCAAGCAGCCGGGUCCCUGGCUAUGCGGCGACGAUGCUUCCGCAGCUCUUUGCUCUGGUCCUCUCAUACGCCCGCCCGAAUCCCCGCGCCUGACGAUGACAGCGCUGCAGCAGAGGGUCCAACGCUCAGCUUCGCGCGCCCAUUGACAGAGCAAUCAGCGGUUGCUGGUGCGCCUGGCUGCCAUUCCCAUCGCGACUACCAGCAUCACGGUUAGCGGACUGGCGCCGCCGGACCCUACACCAGGCGCCUGGAAGCAGCGGCAGCCGGCUCAGCAACUGCGGACUGCUGCAGCUUGCCCUGGUGCGCUGGGCCUCCACCAGUUCCGCAGCCAUAAUGCCGCAGCUGAACCUCCAUUUGCUCCGCGCGGGAGCCCAUCCGCAGGCACUCCGGCGCUGCAGCACUGACUGCGCAUGAGCGGUGGGCGCAACUGCCACACGUACGGCAUCUCAUGAACAUCUGCUGGAGCCUGGUGCCAGCAGCCAUAGACCGCCCUUUCGCCAGGGCUGCCACACGGAAGCCAGGCAACGCCUCCGCCAUUGUCCCGCUGGCAACGCCGCCGAUAUGGCCCCACCCCUGGACCUCUGCAGCUGUUCACCGGCAGGCUGGCAGGCGCCGGCUGGCUCCGCCACUGACCAGUAGCUGCCUGGCAUGCUACUUAUCGCUGCUGCUGCGCCUGGCGCCUGCGAGCUUGCUGCUCGCCUGCAAGUCGUCCGCCUACCCCCGCCGGAGCGGGGCAGGUGUUAUCGGGCGUGUCGGCCCCGUCCGCUCGCCCCACCGCGUCAAGUUCAGUAUUCGCGAGAUAUCAGCUUGCUGCCCUUCCAAACCAAGCUUCUAGGCCCCCCGCGACGACGACGCAAGCCGACAUGCUACUCACCCGCGCACAGUCCGCCAGAAGAUGCGCGAGGGGGCGCGGAAGUGGAAGGGGCCGCGGGUGGGGUUGGUGUUCAUGCGCUUGCGCAGGAAGCGGUCAUACUUCAUCUUCUGGCGCACCAGGCCGCCCGAGAUGGUAAUCUCCUCGGCGCGGACGACCACCUGCAAAAUGCACCGAGCCCGUUACACUCAUGACAAACCUCCAAGUCACACGGACGUAGGCCAGAAGCAGUCGCAGGCUCGCGCGGUUGCCGCCGCGCCCCUGUCGCCGGCGGCUAUGCGGGCGACCCAAGCCCCCAAAAAAUAGACGAGCCCCGCAGCCGCCACGGUGUCGUCCCAACGAUCCCAUCUGUCCUAAACGGCGUCCUUGCGCCGCACACUGCUUACAAUCUGCUGCCCGGCAAGAAUCUGCUUGGCCACCACAGAGGCCAGGCGGCCCAGCAUGUGGGCGCGCCCGUCGAUGACCACAGUCUGCGCGCAAAAAUACAGAGUGGCAGGCAGCCGUCAGGGGCGGUGUUCACGAGCAAAGGCUAGGUGCGGCGCAAAGGACAGUUGCGAAUUGGUGGGGAUAAACUGACCUUAGGCAUCUUCUUUGGCAAACGCUAAAAGAGAGGGAGGAGACGGUGCUCGCCCGCUCUGAAGACUGGCCCCGGUCGCGAUGGGCACGGCGAAUGGCAAGUCGCUCAAACCCUUGCUUCUGCCCUGCAUACCCUAUGUACCUGGUUAUGUAUGCUAUCGCCUAUCCUUAACAUUUUGCUGGUGUGAGCUUCGGACUGGUCCCCUAAACUUGAACCCCAAAAGCGCAGUGCUUGAAUCCUCUGCGACCUGGUGCCACCUGACAUAAUUCAUGCUCAAACAGAGCUUGCGAACUCGCUGCCCUAACUUAGGGGGCCUCUAGCUGUCGUGGAACUGUGGAGAACUCGAGGGCAUCUCUCUGAGCUGACGGGGCGACCUAGGCAACUGGGUCUGCCGUUUGCUCGUAUGUGGGCGCGAUGCCGUUGGCGUUCCGUAGCAACAGUCGGCCUCGCGGAAAUGGUGUGGCAACACCCCUGACCCUGCCCGCGACCAGUGGCGGAGCGGGUCCGCCAACCUCGUCGUCUCUCACGGCUUUCGCGUAUGCUGUGCACAAGGCUGCACGGUUAAGGUAAGCACUCGGUUUCAGAAUCUGCAACCGGGUUGUGAGAAGACCUGUGGGGUUUCGGGCCUUCAGGGUUGGGCUCCAGUAGACCGGAAGACACGACGUGCUGGACAACCCUACCAGGUCAGCACGCACGCGACGGGAUUCCGCGCGCGAUGACCGUACGCUAUCGUUGCGACAAGAGCUGCAGGGACCCCUGCUUCACACCUGACCUUAUGCCAUCUCCACAAUCCGCUUGCCACACUCUCUCCCUUGUCUCCGACUUCCGACACCGCUUGAACCUCGCCGCCUUCAUGUCGCUCACGCCAGCUCGCCCCGCGCCGGCCUCGCUGCCCCCUGCUCCCGCCAGGUCGCCAGUGGGGCCCUCCCAGUGGAAGUCGCUGGUGCUGGAUGAGCUGCUGGCGGUCGAGUUCGAUGAGUUCCUGGCGCACGUGGCCGACAAGGUUUGUUGCGAGUCACCUGUUUUGCCUGUGGCCGCCUCUACCGCCCCACACCAAUUGAGAGCAGCCAGUAUUGACUAGCGGUGACGGUGUCACGCAUGUGCACGCCCCACCAGGGCCUGGAGCCGGAGAUUCGCGCCGAGGUGUGGCCGCUGCUGUUGGGCGUGUAUUCGCCGGAGCACAGCGCGGAGCAGCGCGCCGCCGCCUACAGCGAGCUGCGGCGCCGCUACGAGGGGCUCAUGCAGCGCUGCAGGGUGAGAGGCGCGUGGUAGGGGUCUCGGUGCGGGACUGGGCGGGGCCGCGCUACAGUGUGGUGUUCAGCCAGUGCUGGUGGCGAGCCGUGAGGUCCUGUAAGGCCGUGUGGGGCAGCUUAUGUGCCGGGGUUCGCUGGCGACUGUUGACAGUUGCGACUGUUGUGAUCUCCCAUGCAGGAGCUGGAAACGGCGUUUGUUGAGUCCACGACCGCUGUCCGUCGCAGCGUGCGGCCGCACGGCAUCAGUGGAGGUGGCGCGCCGCCGUUACCGCCGGCCGCCACUGCUGCUGCUGUCUCCUCUGCUGCUGUGGACGCUGCGGCAGAGGAGGCUUCGGUUGUCAUCCCCGCCCCCACGCCGGUCGCAGCUGAGUCAGCUGACGGAUUGGCGGCUGCAGGAGCGGCGGAUGAGCCGCUACCCGGCAGCUCACUGGGCGAUAGCACCAGCAACAGUGAAGGUGUCGCCACAUUGCAUGCGACGGAGGAGCAAGAGGAUAGCGAUGGUCGCAGCGUGCCCGCCUCCUCCUUACCCUCGGCCGCCGUGCUGCCGCGGGCGGAAACCGCUGUGCCGGCCGGCGCCGGCGGGGGCGAUGACACUGCGGCCGCGACGGGCACUGGCGCAGGCGCGGACGCCGCCCUGGACGCCGGCAGCAGCCCACGGGGCGGUCUGCUGCCCGUGGGCCACCUCAGCCGCCAUGACAUGCCGCCCGAGCUGCGGCCGUACUGGGAGUCGCAGCAGUGGAUUGCAAUGGACGCCAUCCGCACCGACUUUAAGAAGAACGCCCUGCCGGGCGCUACCGCCGCCGCCACCGCCGCCUCACAGGGCGCCUCGGCCUUCGCCACCGCCACCAGCGGCGGCCUCAGCCUGAGCCUGUCGGGACUGGGCAUCACGGGUCUGGGCGGUGGCGGCAGCAACGGCGGCCUCGCAGCGGGAGGCGGUGGCGGCGGCGCGCCAGCGGUGCGGGAGGCGGUCAUGUCCGCGCCAGCGUCCGUGUUGGGGUCGCCGGUUGGGCCGCCGGCGCAGGCGGAUGUCGGCGGGGGCGCUGCGGAGGGGCCGCCGCCGGCCGAGGCGGGCCUUCCGGGGGACACAGCGAGCGGGCCGUCAACGUCGCUGGUGUCGACGUCGUCUGCGGGCGGCGGCCGCAUUGCCAGCUGGCUGGCCUCGGCGCGGGAGCGGAUGGAGAGCAGCUCGCUGUACCAGGCGGCGGCGCGGCGCGGCCGCCAGUCGCUGCCAGCCGUGAGUGAUGAGGACGUGGCGUUGGCGGUGGCGGCAGGCCAGCCGGCGGUGGCGGCGGCCGCGACGGCCGCCGCGGCUGGCGAUGCCAGCGCUGGCAUGAGUGGGAGCGCUGCAGAUACGCUCGGGCCUUCGUCCGACAUCGCUUCCACAGCGGGCGCGGUUGCAAGCGAUGCACCUGAGACGCAGGCUGCGCAGCUGGCAGCGGUGGUGGCGGCGGCCGGGAGCAGUGCCGAGGAGCAACAGCAGCUGGACUCGGAAGUGUCACUAGGCCGUGGGCUUGAAGCGGCAGCCGCACCUGGGCCACAGGACGCCGAGCCCGCCGGCUCGCCGGCAUCUGACACGGCCCCGGUUGCGCGAGUCUCUGACCAGACCCAGUCCGCACCGGCUGCCACCGCCACCGCCGCCGGCGCAAGCACUGGUGCCGCCGCCAGCACCAGCGGCUCCACAGGUUGGCUGGCCAGCGCCAAGGAGCGCAUCCAGGCCGCUCGCCGCAGCCUGCAGACCACCAGCCGCGACCAAGUGCAGGGGCAGCAGGCCGCCGCCAAAACCACAGACGAGCCGGCGGCGGCCGCCGCCGCGUCACAGCAGCCGCAGCAGCCAGACCAGGUGCAGCAGCAUGACCAGCACCGGCAGGAGCAGGGGCAGGGGCCGGAGCAGGGGCAGGGGCAGGAGCGGGCGGGUGGGUUGGAGCGCAGCAGCACCGAGAUGCUGGAAGCCGCACUCCAUUCCGGGUCAGGAGGACCAGGAGCGGAUGAGGAUGGUGCAAGCGCCCCGACAGGAAGUGGGACGGCUGACGCCGCUGUCACUGCCGCGUCCGCGGCGGCUGCGGCCACUGCGGCCUCUGCCACAGAGAUGACGGCUCGCGCGACAGGUGCUAGCACGGCGGGCGCGGGUGCUGCGGCGUUGAUGCCAACGUCGGCCAGUAGCGAUGACGCCGGCACUACAUCAGUGGGCUGGCUGGCUAGCGCCAAGGAGCGCAUCCAGGCGGCCCGCCGCAGCCUGCAGACCAGCAAGGAGAACCCAGUGCAGCCCAAGCCGCCGCCGGUACUGGCGCCCUCGCAACAGCCGACGCCGCUGCAAGCGGCAGGGGGGCCGCAACCACAGCCACAUCAAGGGACGUCUACUGGCGGUGACGUGACCACCGGCUGCAGCGGCGCCGCCUCUGCGGCAUCCUUACCUCACCCGGCAGCAGCAGCAGCAGCCACUGGCGACGGGGCAACUCCAGAGCCAUUGACAGCUGAGGUGCCAUCGGCUGCCACCGCAGUUGGAGCAGCUGAUGCCGGCGCGCAGCAGCAGCAGCCGUCAGACGUUGCCUUACAACAUCCCUGGACCGGGGCUGCUGCGGCAGCGGCGGCGGCAGCAGCAGUACCAGCCGCCUCUGCUGCGACCGCGCCGGCGACGGCACUGUCAGCAACUGGGGGCUCAGGCGAACCCACACCGCCCGUAACAGGCGAUUCCCCGCCUCUGCAGUGCACCUCGGUGUCGCCCACCACGCCUGGAGGCAGCAACGUCGCCGGCUCGCACCUCUUCUCCUUCAGCAGCGUCUCCAGCAUCGCCGACGCCUACGCGGACGCUGCCGCAGCCGCCAGCGCCCGCGCAGCGGCUGCCUCCGCCUCCGCCUCUGCCGCGAGCUACGGCUCCGUGCCACCGGUGCUUGAUGCCACGCAGCCGCACACCCACUCGCACUCCCGCCUGCAAGUGUCGCUGCCGCUGGGGUCCGCCGACUCCACGCCGCUGCCCUCCACGGCUUCGGCCGCGGCCGCGGCCGCGGCCUCCACUCAGAAUCCCUGCAUUGACGCGGGCCCGUCUUCGGCAUCAGCGCGCGCCGCGGCCGCAGCUCCUGCCAUGCUGACAAGCACCACCGGCAAGCCGCACGCCCGCAGCCGCUUCGCCGCGGACGCCCUCGCAGCGGCCAGCGCCGCCGGCGCUACCCCGGGUGGCGGCGGCUGCUGCGGCGGCGGCGGCCUUGUCGGCGGCAGCGAGGGCUCACCGGCUCUGUCGCUACCGCCGCUGGCGCAGUCGGACUCGCCGCUGCUGCCCGCCAGCACCGCCACCACGCCCGCCGACGUCGGGGCCAUGCCGGGCACCUCGUCCACCACCCCAGGCGACCUGACGGCUGAGCACCCCAGUGACCUGGACCUGGGAGCCGAGCCCGACGCCGGCCGCCGCAGCGGAAGCGCUGGCGGCGCGGCGCCGGAGGCGCCAGACGGCGGCGGCUCCGCCGCCGCAGAUCUUGCGGGGGCAGCAACGACGACAGUGGAUGCGCCUGAAGGAGGAGCAACUCCUGCCGCUGGAUCGUCGUCUGCUAGCAUCGCCAUUGCUGCUGCGUCGUCUGCAGCGCCCGCAAUCCGGCGCUCCGCCAGCGGCCUGCCCAGCUGGUUCAGCCGCCCAGGGGAUGCCAACUCUUCGGCGACAGCAGCAGCGGCAACGGCGCUGCCUGCUGCCGCUGCCGCCGCGGCUCCAGCGCCCGGCACGUCCGCGCCAGAGUCCAGCUCUGGCAGCGGCCUCGGCUGGCUGCGCCGCUUCGCAAACAGCACCUCGUCCGGAGCGCCUGCGGCCAGCACGUCGGCGGCGGCCGCCCUGCCGCCGCUGCCGCCAACCAGCUCCGCAACAACGGCACCAGCGGGGCCGGCCCUGGCGGCCGCGGUGGCCGCGACGCCGGGCGCGCAGCUGCCAGCGGCCGUGGUAGAGGCCAGCGGCGGAAGCGGGAGCAGCAGCGGACUGUCGUGGCUGCGGCGGCUUGCCGCUGAGUCGGGGCUAGGAUCAUCCGCGGCGCAUGCGGAGGUGGGCACGCCCACAGGCGCCGCGACGCCCACUGCAGAGGCCGCGGCGGCGGCUGCCACCUCAGCUUCGGGACUGGGCACCGGCAGCAGCGGGCUGCACUGGCUGCGGCGCUUCGCGGAGCCCUCGCCAGCGCCACCGCCUUCACUGCCGCCGGUUGCGGCUGCGCCGGCUGACGGCGCCACCCCGGCAGCUGCGCCGCCGCCGGCAUCAUCAGGCCCUGUGUCGGGCGGCCUGACGUCGAGCCUGAACCCAUCCAACUGGCUGCGCCGCUCAGCUGAUUCGGCGCCACAGCUUGUGCCACCGCCGCCGCCACCUGAAGCCGGCGGCGUCGAAGCCGCUGCUGCUGCAGCUGCCACGCCGGGAGGCGCCGGUAGCGUCACACCGAUAGCCGCCGCUGCUGCCGCCGCCGCCGACGCCGCCGCAGCAGCUCCCAAGACCUCGCUGUGGCUCCGCCGCAUGGCCACCGAGUCCGCCGCCACGUCCGUCUCCGCCUUCGCCGCAGCCGCCGCCACGCCCGCGCCCGCCUCGCCCACCGGCCCCAUCACCAGCGUUACCGCCGCCGCGGCCACCCACGCCGCCGCCGCUGUCGGCAGUAGCAGCGCCGGCGGCUACAGCCACAGCCAGUGGCUGAGCUGUGUGGCUCGCUACCACCUGGACCACUCGGCCCACUUCACGGCGGGGCAGCGGCGGCAGGUGGAGCGGCUGGUGGCGCUGCUGUCGGCCUACGCCGCACACGACCCCGCGCUGGGCUACUGCCAGGGGUAAGCACCGGCCGCCGGCGUUGUAGGGAGGGAGCGAGCCGCAGGCCUUGGGUGGCAGCUUGUUUCCUUACAGCGCCUUCACGCCGCGCCUGCUUGAGCACACUGACGUUAGCCGUAUCCUCCCCAUUUCGGCACUAACACUUGUCUCGCUGCAUAACCCCUUUUCGACCUCGCUCGCGCGCCCCGCAGCAUGUCCGACCUGGCGCUGCCGUUCCUGCUGCUGCUGGACGAUGACGCGCUGGCCUUUGCCUGCUUCGCCGCGCUCAUGGUCAAGGUGCGGGCCAUGUCUCAACCGGCGACCACCCCUUGCACCUGGAAACAGCACUCGCUGCGCUCUUGGGGCCGUGCCUUAGUCCACACAGCCCCUUCACCUCUGCCCCCUGCCCCGCCCCCUGCCGCGCCCGCAGGUCCGCGCCAACCUGCUGCCGCGCCACUGCGACGGCGUGUUCGAGCGACUGGCCGCGCUGGGGCGCCUUCUCGCCGCGCUGGACCCGCCGCUGGAGGCGCACCUGCGGCGCCUGCACGCCGCGCCCGACUGCCACUUCGCGCACCGGCUGGUGGCGGUGGCGCUGCGGCGCGAGCUGCCCGCCGAGCUGGCGGUGCGGCUGUGGGAGCAGCUGUGGGCCGACGACCUGCUGGAGGAGCGCCUGGCGGAGGAGGCGGAGGAGGAGGAGCGGGAGCGGGAGGCGGAGGAGGAAGAGGCGGCGAGGGAGCGCGCGGCGCGGGUGGAGGGCGAGGAGGGCCCGGCGGCGGCGGUGGCUCUGGCGGCGGCCGCCGCGGAGGAGGAGGCGCUGGUGGCCGCUGCGGCGAAGGCGACGCCGGCGGCCGCCAGUGGUGGGGUUGAUGGCGCUGAGCAGCCGCAGCCAGCGGCCGUUUUGCCUGAGCCGGCUGCGGUGGCAGCGGCUGAGCCGGAGGCAGCGGCGGGCUCUGUGCCGGCUGCAAGCGGCGGCGCCUCGGGCAUCUGUGGCAUUGUGUCGGCUGCAGAACGGGCUGAGGGCCUUGCCUCCGCGGCCUCGGACAUUGCCACCGAAGCUGCGGGUGGGGUUGGGGCUGAUGUCAAGGCACCGCCUGAGGGCACGGCAACCUCCCCCGUCCCGCAGGCGCCAGUAGCGGAGGAGGCUGCAGCAACAACAGCAGCAGCAGCAGCUGCAGCAGUUGCUGAGGAUAGCACGGCCCCCGAGGAAGCCGCCAGCAGUGCCGCCUCUUCCCCAGACGCCGGCGAGGUUGUCGCCGCAGUUGCUGUGGACAGCAGCAGCACGAGCCUUCCGAACAGCAGCGGAUGCGGCGCAGCCGCUGCUGACACCGCUACAGGGGAUUCUAACACGUCUCCACUUAACGCGGCCUACACCACCACAGCACCCUUAACAACCACCACCGCAACCUCAACCACCACCACCGCAACCUCAACCACGCCAACCACGGCCAUCACACCCACCGAGCCGCCGCCGCCGCCCGCCUUCAGCCGCGAGCUGUUCCAGUACGUGGUGGCGGCGGUGGUGCUGUCGCACCGCCGCCGCCUGCUGGACUGCGCCGAGCUGGACGACGUGCUGCGGCUGUUCCAGCAGCUGCCGCACAUGAGCCGGGCCGACGUGGCGGCGGCGCUGCAGCGGGCGCGCGAGUACCGCGAGCGCGUGGCGCCGCGAGCGGCCGUGUACGCCGCGCAGCGGCGGGCGGCCAAGGCGGCGGCCGGGGCGGCGGAGAAGCGGGCUGCGGGGGAGAGGGAGGGGGAGGUGAAACUGGCGGCGGUGGCAGCAGCGGCCGCAGUGGCGGGCGCCGCGGCGACGGCGGCGGCAGCAGCGGCGGCGGCGGGGCUGCAGGAACUGGAGGCGGCGGCGGCCGAGGCGGGCGCGGGGCUGGUGGCGGGCGCGGCGGAUCUGGCCGCCGCCGCGGCGGUUUCCGGGGUGCCGCCCGGCGCCCCCGUUGCAAAGCUCUAGAUGCUCCGCGGCGUAAACGGCUGUGAUAUGCUGUGGUGCUAUGUUGUAGUAUCUGCAUGGGUACGAGGACUGGGCCGGCAUCGACACGAGGAUGGGGCCGCGUAGCGGGGAAACGAUGCAUGCAAAUAAGAAGCCCCGGGGGAACGAUAUCUCAGCAAAGAAUUCUGACCCAUGGAAAUCAGAGGGCUGCGUAGCGAGCGUAUCUGUAUGGCAGCAUCUGGCGAAGAGGCGGGUGUGCAGGAUUAGGCACUAGGCAGGUGUGCGCAUUAGGCAGGAGGGCCAAGGCUCUGGGGGACGGCUGGUGCUGUGCGUGUUGUGACCGUGUGGGGUGCUGUAGGCAGGCUUGAGACGCAACGUGGGUCCGUCAGGGUGCAGCGGCCGAUGCACGAUUGCGAUCAGUGGUUGUGGCGUGUGUCCGGGCUCUGGCCCGCCCUCCUGACGCGCGAUUUGGAUUGCAUGCGGAUGGCAGGUGGGUCACGUGGAUUUGAGUGCAUCUGUGUGAAGGGUAAGUCUGUUUCAGCGUAGGCGCCAUCUGCGCAGCGUGCGUGAACACGUCAGCGAGUACUGAGCAUUGUGGAAGCGACUCCCCCGGGCGGCCAGAAGCGUGGGGGUGCUAUGCAUGCUGCUUAUUGCGCACUGUGGCACGGGGAUUGCUGCAUGUAACGCAAGAUGUGGCAACUGACUGCACACAAAAGAACAAGCCGAAAGAGAACCGGCAGCUAGAGGUUGCGUAGGACGGGGCAUGUGGGAUACCUAGGGCCAUUGCCGUGUGCACGAGCAUGUGAGAGGGCGACAGGCUGAGAGCCUCUCCACACUGCGAGCAUUCUCAUAACCUCACCAGCAGCUGACCGCCUGACACUCCCACCCAUACUCUUACACUGCUCAUGCCGCAACGGUUUUGCGCCAGGGCUUGCAGUCCAGUUCGUCAACAGGACACUUCCAUCGUUCCAUGCUAGGGCCGUGCAGCAGCUGUCGCAACCGCGAUGCGGUGACGCCCUCCGCAUAAACGCCGCCUUCCCCCGGGAUCCCCUAGUCCUGCACCAUCGCGCUCAGCCGCCAGCCCGCCGCAUAGCCGUGCCUGCCGCUGUCCGCCUUGGCACCUGCCACCGCCUCCGCCACCUUGGCCUCACGCCGCGCCGCCGCCUCCACCGCCUCGCGCGCCCCCGCCGCGGACGCUUCGGCGUCAUUGGCGUUGCCGGCUGCAGCGGCGGCCGCCGCCUGUCGCUCCAGCGCCGCCGCCAACGCCCGCUUGCUGCGCGCCUCUGCCCACAUGUCGCCUGCAAAGGACAGGAAGCCAAGCCGUCGCGUGUUGCCUCGGAUGUGACCCCAGCCGAUUGCAAACAGGGCCCGCCAUGCACGCCCCGCGCCUCCGCAUCCACACCCACACACGCGGCCAUCCUGGCAGGCCAGCACACAUCGGGUUGGCACACUGGCACCCUUUCACCAACCCCAAAGCUUCCGCCGCCUCCACCACGGCCACCGCACCCACCGCCCCACCUCCCCGGCCCCCCGCCGCCCCACCUGCUGCCCGCGCGAAGGCCGUGGCGCUCCUGGCGGCCUCCAGGGCGCUGUGGCAGUCCACGAGCUUCUGCGGCCCCAGGAAGCUGAGCGCCAGCUCGUUCAGCACUCCGCAUACCACCUGGAAAGGGGGGGCAUGUGCGUGACUGGUUAAGUGGUUAGGAGGCGGCCAGGUCAGAACAGCGCAGCGUGGCACAGCCGCGGGCUUGAUGGAUGCGUCCAGAAGAUGCGUCUGCGACUGCCCCCGCGCAGCAUUUGAGUGCCGCCGGCAGCGCGCCUGCAGCACCCGGCGGUGACACGAGCGUGCACGACACCACACGGCGCGCACAGACAAGCCCGUACGCCACACAGUGUCCAGCCCAUAUCGUGAGCGACCUCUCGCUCUCAGCCUCGUCCUCUGCCGUCCCAGCCUGUGCCGGCCCUGCCCCGGCCACCGCCGCACCUGCAUGUGGCCCAGCUUGCGGUGGGCGGUGCGCAGCGCCUUGGACAGCUGCGGGGUGGGGGUGGCGGAGGUGUGGGGUGGCGGAGGUGGGGGUGGCGGAGGUGGAAAAUGAUGAAAGAAGGCUGGAGCGAGGGAGGGCAUCACCACAGGGCCCGUCAACGCUCUGCGAACCGACGCGCAGCAAAGCCCCAAGGCGCCGCCUACCGCCCCUAGCCGCCCCUCGCUCGCCCCCCCCAGUGGCGGCCUCACCAGUGCGUUGGCGGCGGGUAGGUUGCCCUGCUGCGCCAGGCAGGCGGCGGACGCCAGCAGCGCCGCGGCGUCCUCCAGCCCGCCCAGCCGCGCCGGGGCGGAGCCGGGGGCCGCCACCGCACUGCGGGAGGCAAGCGUGUGAGGGACGUUGGUUGACCGGGCACAUGACGUAAGUGAGGCCGGCACUUGGAACACGACAUGUACAGCGCCACAUCGCCACAUUGCCAUCGUGGCCAUGCGUAAAACGGUUUCCACCGCAGCUCGGCGAGGGGGCACACAGAGACCCCACAUCCCACAAACACACAUACAUAGACACGCACCCUGCGUAGAAGGGACCCAGCGCCUCAAUGGCCCGGGCCAGGCUCGGCCCGGGCCCCACGGCCGCCGCCUCCUGCCCCUGCACUGUGUGCUGCGCCGCCGCCGCGUGGGCGCGCGCCUGCGCCUGCGCGGCGUCGUCCAGGCUGAGGUGCGCCGCCGCCUCCAACACACUCGCCACCGCGGCGGAGGCGGGGUUGGGCGCGUGCUGCCGCGCCGCCUGCAGGUAGGUGGGUGCAGAGUGGUAGUGGUGGUGGUGGUGGCGAUGGUAGCGUGGCGGUUGGGAGUAAAGCCGGAGGCCUGGAAUCGGUCUGGACAGGCGACGGCAGGUCAUGCAGCAAAAGUAUGCACCGUAACAAAUACGCCUCGUAUGCACUACCCCGCGCGAUGCUUUCUCUUCAUCCUUACCUUAUGUGUGCUCUUACACACACACACACACACACACAUGCACACACACACACGCACAUGCGCGACACACGCACCUGGAAGUGCGCCGCCGCCGCGGCGUGCUCCCCCGUGGCUGUGCAGUACUGGCCUGUCAGCAGGUGGGCGGCGGGCAGCUGCGGCGCCAGCAGCCGCGGGUAGCGCUCGCACAGCGCCUGCACACACAGCACCUCCCCACGCGCCGCAGCCAGCUCGCCCUGCGUGGCAUGUGUUGGAGAGCACAAGGGAAACCAUACGCGCAGGACAGUGUAUGCGGUGCAGGGUUACGGCCGCGGCAUGUGCUUUGCAUGUGUUGUGUGCUAUAGGCACGCAUGAGAAGGCGCGCAGGGUGGCGACAGCCGCGUGCCAGGCGGAUGGGUUCCAUGCCGGGCUGCCAGUCCCAUCGCGAACCCCAUGCUUCUACUUCGGGAUUGGAAUAGACUACCCCCACCUCGCCCCACCCCGCACCCGUACAGCCCGGCCCUCGGCGCAGCCCACUGCCCAGCCCUCAACCCAUGCAGCUCCCCCCCCCCCCCGCACACCUCGCCCUCCCUCCCUCACCCGUGACAGCAGCACUUGCGCCCGGCACUGCAGCAGCAUCAGCUGCAGCCGCAGGGCGCUGCCCGCAGGCGCCAGCUGCUGCGGCGCCAGGUUCACCUCAUCAGCCCCGCCGCCGCCGCCGCCGCCGCCGCCGCCGCCGCCGCCGCCGCCGCCGCUGUCGGCAGCCGCCAGAAGGCCCGCCCGCCGCUUCAGCUGCUCCACCGCCUCCAGACCUGCAGCCCGUGCAUGCGGCACGUGCAAGAAACACACGCUUGUACACCAUAUCGUGUUUUCCCCCGCGCAUAGAGAUCCUGCACUGCAUUGCUUGACGUUCACAGGGCGAAGAUGCCCGCCCGCCUCAUUCACCACAGCUCAAACCCGCACCUCCCACCCUCCCUGCCCGCGGCAGCCCCGGCGCGCCCCCUCCAGCGCCCCCGCCCUCACCCCGCUGCAGGUAGUCCAGGGUGAGCCGCGGCCUGCCGCCGCCCUGCCUCAGCGCCAGCGCCGCCACCAGGCACACCAGCGGCUCCAGGGACAUGCCCGGCAGCUCAUACGGAGCAGCCGCCGAGGCCGCAGAGCCUGUGUGCGUGUGAGCGCGCCCGGACGGCGAAAUCAGAAAGGUGCAGUGUGAGGGAGCAGCAGGUAGAAAGCAAGUCGCAGCUGCAAUCGCCCAGUGCAGCGCAUUAAGGAGCCGUGCCGUGCAUUGGGGGCCGGGCACGUGGGGAGUACAACAGUAGCACGCGGUGGUAGCAGGGAUCUCCCAGCGCUUCCAAGGGCCUCAGGGAGACAGGGACCCCGGCCUCCGCCGCCCCGCCUUGCAACCCGGUGCCACCCACCCGACUGCGCCGCCGCCAGCUGCUUCCACGUGCUGUCCAGGUUGGCGAUCAGCGGCGGCGGCGGCACCCCGGGCCCGUCUGCCUGCUCCGGCGACAGCGGCGGCUGGUUGGCCUCCUGCUGCUUGUCCUUCACCACGUCCGCCACCUUGCCCACCCGCAGCAUGUACAGCACCUGACGGCGGGAGGGGAUGGGAGAGAAGAUGUGGGAGGGGUUGGUGAAAGAAAGCGAAUCAACGCGUGUCAUUGUUAUGCAGGACUGACUUGGCCGGUACAUGCCGCACAUUCGGUGCCUUCACCCCAUGGCCAUUGGGUUACCGCCCCGCCUCACCUCCGCCCACUCACCAUUCCCGCCCACCAACUUGAUUCACACACACACACACACACACACACACGCACACACACGCACACGCACACACACAGCGCUCACACAUACAUACACACACAGCGCUUACACACACCUGCAGCACAUUGUAGUGCAGCAGCGCCAUCAGGAAGCCAGUCGACCCCAGCCCCCCGCCUCCUCCUGCCGCCCCGCCACUCCCCUCCGCCGCCCCCAGCGCCGCGUUCAGCUGCUUGAUGGCCGCGUCCGCUGCGCCGUCGUCCCACCGGUCCAGUGCCAGCUGCGCCAGCAGCAGCAGCGCCGCCACGCGCUGCGCCGCCGCGGCGCCGCCGCCGCCGGCGCGCUCCGCGAAUGCCAGUGCCUGGCCGGCGGCGGCCUCGGCCUCACGUGGCCGGCCGGCGCGGUGGUGGGCUGCGGCCUGGCGCUGUAGCAGCCGACAGGCCCACACGCACACGGCGGCCCUGUGCGGCGUGGGAUCGGGGGCACACGGCUGUUGGUGUUGGUAUUGGUGGGUGUUGCUGUUUGUGUUGGUGGUUGCAUUGAAAUGGGUAUUCUCGAUCUGGGUCGGGAACUUGCCGUUGCUUGUCUGUGACGCCCGCCCUGUACCGCCGUCCUUCCGAGCCAGCCACGCAUCCGCAGUUCUGCACCACCAACCCCGCUCCCAGGCUGCCUCUUCCAGUUACGCUCCUCCCUGCACGCGGACUGGCUUGACCCUCCCGCACGCUCACCACUCGCCGCUGCCCUGCGCCGCCUGCCACAGCUCCGAAGCAGCCGCGUACGUGGCCAGCUCCCCCGCCUCGUCGCCCAGCAGCUGCUGGGCAGCUGCCAGCCGGUCCGCCACUUCGUACUUGAGGCAGUAGCAGCCGAUGAGGCUGCGGGACAGGCUUUGCUGCAGGGGGGUCGUGGCGGGGUGGUGGUAGAGGGGUUUUUGCGCGAGGGGCAGAGGUGGCAGGCACGGUGUGGCCCUUCGGGUGCCGUGCCUGCGGCCUCUGCAUUUUAUGUUUGCAGGCCGCUGGCCCCUGCCAGCUUUGGCGCAAGUCGGCUGCAAGCCCAUGACGCUGCUAGACGGCUGCGAGCCGCCGGCGCUCACCGCGCGCAGCAGGUGGUUGCAGGCCUCCUUGACGUUGAAGGUGUGCUGCAGCAUUAGUCGUGCCAGGUUGAGGCGCGCUUUGACCUCCACGUCCGGGGGCAGCACCUGGUUGACCAGCGCGUGGUAGCAGUGCAGCGCUUGUAUGGGACAGCCAUCGUUCUCGUAGCUCGCGGCCAAUACUAUGAGCCCCUCAGCCAGCUUUUGAGCCAUGGUCGCGGGUUUGGCCCUUGGACGUGCGGCUAGUACAUGGCGAUAGAGUUAUUAAUAGCGUAGAAAGUGCAAACACAAGCCUAGACUGGAUUAGGGCGCCGCGCUGAGAAGAGUGCCGCUUCCCGCGCACAGCACGCCCCCGGAUGGGGAAACGCGCAAAUGGAGUUCUUGCCCACAACUCAAAAAGCAAUCAUUGAACUCAGUUUAGGCUGUAUUCCGAAAGAAUAAGAAAUGCGGAGCGACCGCACGGCAAGCACCAAAUAAAGUUGAACUGCCACACUCAGCGCUGUUUAGCCAGAGUAUCAAUCAUGGCGGACUUCCUACUGCCCAUUCUUUCGUAUGAUGAUGAUGAAGAUAUCAUAGAAGCCCCGGCUUCAGCGUCACAAGAAUCUAGAAUCUCGUCAUCGCCGCAAGAGAAAGCCGCGGCUGAUGGCGCAGGCGGCGCUGGCUCAGCAAGCGAACGUGGAGGAGUUGCCGCUACGGACGCUGCAUCCUCACGGUCAGAGGUGUCGGAUCCUGGGCCGACGGCGGCUGCGCCUGGCAUCGCGUUGGCGCCCCGCACUAGCGCUGGGCCCGGCACGGCAGGGACAGUGGCGGCCGGCGCCCCCAAAGACUCUGGCCCACGUAGCUCAGGAGCCUCCGGCGCGUCAUCCGCUGCUGCCAGCAAGGGCGCAGGUCAGGGCCCGGUGCAGGCCGCGGCAGGAAAGGCAUCAGCAGCGGCGAUGGGCCCGGCGGCCACUGCGCCCAUCAAUGAGGACGAGCUCCCCGCGCCACCCGCCUCCGCCUCCACCACCUCCACCACCUCCUACAACUCCACCUCCAUUUCCACUUCCACCAGCAGCACAGCCCUGGCCACCACCUCUCUCGGCGCGGUCACCGCCGCCGAGCUCGCAGCAGCCGACGCCGCCUCCGCCAACGGCGAAGCCGCCGAUGACGACGCCGACGCCACCGACGCCGACGCCGAUGACGCCGCCGACCUGGACUUUGAGGCCCGGCGGCGGCGCGCCGUGUUCACGGCCAUGCUGCUGCUGCUGGAGCGCGGCGCGGCGGACGAGGCGGCGCUGGGGCGGCUGGUGGCGCCCAUGAGCGGCGCCGAGCUGCGGGGCGUGGCGGAGGAGCGCGUGCUGGCGGGUGCGUGUGGGGGUGGGGAGUGGACUCGGUGGGUGUGGUGGGUGAGAUGCUUUAUUACAAUACUAGCUAAACCAAGACCCAGAACCAGCCCACAAAGCGUGGUGUGUGGGGGGCAUGGGUGGGGGUUAGGUGGAUGGGUGGGUGGGCGAAAGGCCGAGGACAAUCCGCUUGCGUGACUGCCAAUACUGGCUCAGCCCUUUGCGUGGCGCUAUCCCGCCCCCCCCCCCCCCCCCGCCGUGCUGGUGCAGGCAAGUGCGGCAACCCGCUGUGCAGCCGGCCGCACCGCCUGCCCUCACGGCCCACACGAGGCGGCUGGGACCCCUCCUUCGACUUCGCCGCCGCGCCCUCCCCUGCCGCCGCCGCCGCCGCCUCCUCCGCUCCAAGUGGCGGCGGCGGCGGCAGUGGCGGCGGCGGCGGCAGCGGGCACUUCUGCUGCUCGGGCUGCGAGGCGCUGGUUGAGGGGUACGCGGACGCGCUGGGUGAGGACCCCCUGGAGCGGCUGAGGCCGGGGGCCAGGGUGCUCAUGGCGGCCAGCCACGCGCCGCGCAGGUGCGGGCUUUUGAGUGGUGUGUAGGGAGCGGAUGUGCUUUGUGGCAAUAGCGAUAGGGGCGAGGGGUCGACGCCGUGUGUGCGAAAGGGUGUGCGUGUAUGGGGCGGGCCGCGCUGGUGCCCCCGUGCCCGGCAAGCUACAGAGUCGGGGCGACGGAGAUGAAAAGAACGACAUGGGGGCGGGGCAGGAGUGAUCGGGUGGCGUGUGCUGCGACCGCGAGUGGAGAGCUGUGUGGCUGGGUGGGGAGGCGACCAAAGGGGCCGCGGGAUCUGCCUGCGCAGCAUUAUGGACUCCCAUGUACGCCCCGCCCCGCACCUGUGUCCCCGACAUCACACGACGUACGACUCAUUUCACCAAAUGCGGCACUCGGCACGACGACACACGCACACGCGCCACACCCCUGCAGGCCGGCGGGCAUGCGCGACGUGGCGGCCCAGGGCGGCGGCGUGGCGACCAUGAUGAACGCCGUGGUGGAGCGCGACCCGCGGCAGGCGGCGGCGGAGGCGGCGGCGGGAGGCAGAGCCCUGGACAGGCGGGCGGCGGCGGUGACCGUGGCGGCGGCGGUGGAGCCGGCGGAGGGGGCGGCGGACGAGGCCGGAGCGGUGGCAGCGGCGGCGGCGGCGGUGGCGGCGGCGGGCGCGGUGGAGGGCUAUGUGCCGCGGGCGCGGCGGGCGGGUGGCGCAGGGCCGCGGGCGGGGCCGCGCGGCGCCUCGCCUGCUGUGGUGCUGGAGGAGGGCGAUGAAGACGGGGACGAGGACGAGGAGGUGGGCGGGGGUGAGGGUGAGGGCCAGGACGGCGGCUCCAGGGGGCGGCGGCGGCUGUCGCUGCCGGCUGCGGCGGCGGCUCCGCCCCGGCCGGCGCUGAAGAAGGAGAGCAGCGCCAAGGUGGUGCUGGGGGCGGCCACUGCGGCGGCGGUGGCGGCGGCCACGGGGGAGGCGGUGGAGCGGCGGCGCGUCAGGUUCGGACCCAAGGUGACCCCAGGGGCGCGGGAGGGUGGGGGGAGAAGGAAGCUGAGGGGGAGGGCAGGGGCAGGGAAAGGGAGAGAGCAGCUCAGGGGGGGAGGGCAGGGACUUACUGGGUGGAGUCAUGCAGGUUGGAGUUGCGGCCGGUGUGGAAGUGGACUGCGGGGACUGGCAGGCGGGGCACCGGCAUCCUAUUGCUGAGCCGUGACAGACGUUGCGUCUUUGAGAGCAAUAAUUGAUGUUGUCAUGCAUGUCGUGGACUUGCAGGUGGAGUUCUCAAUGCCGGCGGAGGCGAAGGCGUCACGCGGUGGCUCCUUCGCGGACAGGGCGGCGGCCGCGAGGGAGGCCGCCGCCGCUGCUGCGGCAUCCGCUGCCGCUGCCGCUGCUGCAGCCAGCGCGGACACUACCACAACCGCUGGCGCCCAUGGGACCGCGGCAGCUGCAGCCUCAGGCGCCACUACAGCCGCUGCAGCCGCUGCAGCCGCACCGCAGCAGCCGCUGCUGGUAUUUGACGUCGAGAACUCGGACGAAGAGGCGGGCGCUAGCGGCAACGGUGAGGCGGCAGCGGCGGCGGCGGCGUCGAGCCUGGGCCGGCAGCGGGGGCCGGCCAAAGGGCCGCGCGGCGUGCUGCGCGUGGCGGAGGCGGCGGAGGUGCUGAGGGACGCUGCAGAGGCAGACGCGGAAGCGGGUGCGGAGGAGGAGGAGAGGCCGUCAGGGAGAGCCGGCGGCAGCGGCAGUGCUGGCGACACGGCGGCGGCCGUGGGCCUGUCUGAUGCAGCCCUACCUGCAGCGGUGAACGGUGAGUGGGAUUGCGGUAGGGUGCGGCUGUGCGACUGGGGCGCAGCUGCAGCUGCAGCCAUCUCGCAUCGCACCCACGUCUGUCCCUGAAUAUCGCCUCCCCUGCCUCGGCCUCUGCUCGUGUCUGUGCCCUCAGAGGUGGCGCCACCGGGCAAGCCGCCUCGGGCGCUGCGCAUGUGGUUUCCGCCCGCCGCUGGGGGCGUCGGCGUCAGCAAGGGGGGCAAGCGCGGCGGCGCCAAAGGCGGCGGCAGUGGUGGUGCAGCGGCGUCCGCGCCGAUCCGGCCACCCGCCACCGCCGCUGCCGGCAUCGCCACCUCCACCUCCACCUCCACGACCGUGUCCACGCCAGCAGCGCCCGCUGCAGCCGCGGCCGCGGCCUCUGGCGCCGGCACCGCCGUCGGGGUCUGUGCACUGCCUGCUGACAAGCCGGCAGGGGCGGAAGCGGCACCGGCAUCGGUACUGCCCGUGACGACGGCGGUCACGCCAGCGCCCGCUAGCAGUGCAGCGGGGGCAGAUAGCGGCGCACGGGCUGCAGCACCGGCAGCAGCAACACCGUCCUUAGCACCAGCAGCAACGGCAGCAACGGCAGCAGCACCAGCCGCCGACGCCGCGGGCGGUGGGCGGCUGCGGAGGUUCCUGCCGCAGGCGCCGCCGCGCCGCAAGGUGGUUUACCUGGAGGCGGCAGUGGGGGCGCCGGCUGCGAGCAGCAGUGGGGCCAGCAGCAGCAGCAGCAGCAGCAGUGGCGGGGCAGUUGUAGGUGCUGUGGCGAGCUCAUCGGCACCUCCACGCCAGGCGCAGCAGCCGGCUGCUGCAUCACCACCACCAUCGCCAUCACCUUCAGCUGCCGCGCCCUCCCCCAACGCCGCCGCUUCCGGCGCCCCCAAGGCGCCUGGCGCCAUUGCGCCAGCAGCGCAGCCGCAGCCGCAGCCGCAGCCGCAGCGGCCCGGCGAGCCGGAGCUGCGGCCGGGGGAGCCCAGCGCGCCGCCGCGGGUGCACGUGAUCCGGGUGCCUAGCGGCAAGCGGCCCCAGGGCAGCGGCGUGCCCAUCCCGCCCGAGCAGCAGCCCUACUUCUCAGAUGAGGAGGACGAGGAGGAGGACGACGAUGAAGAUGGGGAGGGGGAGAAGCAGCGGCGCAGCCGCGAGGAGGAGUUCGUGCAUGAUGAUCGCGAUGCGGAUGAGAUGGCGGAUGAUUUGUAUUACGGCUCGCUGCGGGCGGUGGACGAGGAGGAGGACGAGCAGGCGGAGCUGGCGGCACGGGGCGGCGGCGGCAGCGGCAGCGACGGCAGUGAGGACGAGGGCGAGGGCGGGAAGGGCGGGAGGAGGGCGCGGAAGGCGUUGCCAGUGGCUGUCGCAGCGGGCGGGAGCUGUGAUCGGCCGUCCGGGGCGGCGGCGGGCGCAAAGCAGCCAGUGGCCCCGGGGCCGAAGGCGCGGGGGCAGCAGGCGCAGCAAGUGGUGGCGGCAGCGGCUGGGCCGAGCAAGGCCGGCUCCACGGGCGCGGCGGCAAAGGCAGGGACAGGGGCAGGGGCGGGGGCGGGAGCGCCGGGCAAGGCGGCGAGCCUUUGGAAGGAGAAGCGCGAGCAGCAGCGGCAGCAGGGGCUGCUGCAGCUGCAGCAACUGCAGCAAAUGACGGCGCCGGCAGCGGCAGCGGCCGCCAAGCUGCCGCAGCAGCAGCCACCGCGGCGCCAGGCUGCGGCGGCUGCCGCUGUCGCCCCCUCACCACCCGCCGCGGCGUCAGGGAGCAUCUCAGCCGGGCCAGCCAAGGGCGCUGCCAGCCAACAGGCGCCGCAGCAGGCGCGGCAGGCGCAAGCGGAGGAGCCCACAGCACAGCAGCAGUCAGAGCCGCGGGAUGCAACCAGCGCUACUGCCAGCGGCAAGGCAGUCGGAGAUGGCACUGCUACUGCCGCUGCUGCUACUACUGCCGCUGCUGCUACUGCCGCUGCUGCUGCCGUUGCUGCUACUGCUGCUGGCGAGGAGGUGGAUGAGCCGUGGCUGCUGCGUGACGACCUGGACAGCGGCGCCGACAGCGAGCUGGACGACACCGCCUCCAACGCCUCGUCAGCAGACGACUACAACUUCAAGUGUGUGUGUGUACAUGGUUGUUGGGCAUCAAAACGGAGAGACACCCGUCCGUGUGUGUGUGUGUGUGUGUGUGUGUGUGUGUGUGUGUGUGUGUGUGCAUGAUGUUUGUGGAUGGGAGGUGGGAAGCAUGCUUGCAAUGAUUGACUUCACGCAUUAUGCAAUCACAACCGCGCGCUCUAACACCUGCCCGCACACCCGCGCACACACGUACGCGCAGGGCCAUGCUGCCCUACUUCCGGCGCACCACCGCGCACUACGCCGCCGUGCUCAGCCCCUUCAACCAGGUGCAGAUGGCGCUGUGCGGCUGGACCAACGCGCGCACGGUGGCCUACGUGGUGGGCGUGGGGCUGGGGCCCAUGCAGGACCCAGGUGCGGGGCGGGGAAGGGGGAUGGGGCGGGGGCCGGGGUGCAGCUGAGCUGGGGUUGAAGCUGAGCUGGUGUUGGAGCUGGGCUGAGGAGUCCUGGAACGUGGAAGCACAUCAGGCACGGCAUCGUUCGCAUCAGCGGCAGCAGUGUGCGGGCUCAAAGCAUGGCCAGGGAUUGAGCCAGGGACAUGUGCACGCAACUUUUCAAGACCCGCCAACUUCGCUUUUUAGUCGGUUGGUUUGCACCCUGUCCACAGGCCCGGCGCUGCCGGACUCGGCCUACGCCUACGACGACGCGGGCGACGGCGGGGGCGGCGACUCCGCGGCGCGGCAGCAGCGGGCCGUGCUGCUGCAGCUGCUGGCGGCGCCGCUGCGUGAGGUGUGCGGCGGGCUGGGCGUGCGCGUGGCCGCGUCCGACGUCGACCGCAAGCUCGCGGCGCUGGUGUCCACAUUCAGGUGUGGGCGUGUGUCAGGGAGCGCAGAAGGGACCACACGCGUGUGUGUAUGUGUGUGCGUGUGUGUGUGUGUGUGUGUGUGUGUGUGUGUGUGCGUGUGAAAGAGAGUGUGUCCCGCAACCACCUCAUAUACCUCCGUCUGCCCCAUGCUGCCUGGCGCCGCCACCCUGCACCCUGCGCUGCCUCGAUGUCACCCGGCCUUGCCCGUGACCCCGCCCCUGACCCCGCCCUGCGCCUCUUCACACACACACACACACAUACGCACACACACGCACAGGCUGUCCGGGCCGGUGCCCUCCUUCAAGCCGGCCCAGUGGCAGCUGCUGGCGCUGGCGCUGCUGGCGGCUCUGUCGCGACACCACAUCCCCGCCCUGAGGACCAGCCUCCUCGCAGCAGCACCUCCCGCCACCGCGGCGGCGGGCGCGACUGCGGCUAGUGGCGCGGGCGCCGGCGACGCGGCGAGUGGCGAGGGGGCGGCGGCGGCGGCGCCGGCGGCGGCAGUUGGUGAGGGCGCAGGCGGGUGUGUGCCGCGGCUGCGCGCGGGUGCCUCCCUGCACGCCGCCAGCGCGCACCCGCGGCUGCUGGGGCUGCUGGAGCGGACGGGCUUUGACGUGCACUACUUGUCGGCCCUGGUGGACCUGAUCAGCUCGCCGGACUUCUAGACAGCAGGGGGGGGUGGCGGGGCAGGCGGGAGAGGAAGUUGUGGGGAUAGGAUGGGUUACAGAGUGUGGAGCAGGCAGGCAGGCGCAGACAGGCAGGCAGGCGCACGUUGACAGGUAGGGGCAGUGUUAAAGACGCCGUUUGUUGCGGCGCGGCGCGGGGCAAAUGCGAAAGGUGUUUUGAUGUGUGAGGACUUGGUUGUUGGACUAAAGAAAGCGAUGAAGCGGGAUUGUGUGACUAAUGGCCUGCUUGGUGCGGCGGUGCCGACACGUUGGAAACAAGUGUGUGGAGGCGCGAUCUAGGGUGGGUGGGGACGGGGCGGUGCGGGGCUGCCAACGAUGUGUUUUGCGUGAUUCCUCUGAAGCGAGCUCGGGACAUUUCUCUCCGGGGCCCUGCCUUGGCUGCUUUGCACAGUGCCGUACCGUAAUCUGCAGGAUGGCUGGGUGGCUGGUGGGCACACGACUGCCGGGCUGCGUACCGAAUGUGUGUCUGUGCUGGCAGGAUGCAUUUGCGUGGGGGUGGUUGGCGCAUCCUAGUACGCAACCGGAGUAAUCUCAACUGCUGUUGGUGGCUGUUGCGCAAGCAAUGUAGCGAUGUCGCACGGCACCCUCGCAAUCCGCAGGAGGACUCUUCUUUACUGUUGACACACAUGCACUGAUGCUUCCUCUCUGUUGGCUCCCUCGCUCUACUUCUCUCCCGUCCUGUCCGGCUCGCACUCUGGUCAAGUCAUUCGUCUCAAGCUCACAACCUCUCGAACCCUCUCAAACAUGUCAUUACAACGCACCACGUCCACCCACUCGGUUAUCAAGUCAACUUGCAUCUGUCCAGCAGCACAACACCGCACUGCCAACGCAAGCAUGAGCAGCACCCCUCACAUGCUGGAUGCGUCUCUUGCCCUUUCCCUCACCCUCGCGGCCGCUUUCCCGCAGGCCCCAGCACUGCCCCAGGCCCCUGCCCCGCCGCUCUCUUGAUCCCUGCCCCUGCCCCUGCCCCCAGCGCCCCCCCUGCCCCCGCUCCUGUCCCCCCUGCUGCUGGCGCGCCCCUGCCUCGUGCCCACUGAAAGAAGUCACAGCGGCCCUGCGGCGGCAGACCAUCAGGCCGCGCGCAGCACCAGAACUGGGGGGUUUGGGUGGCGGCGGCAGGUACGGCGGCAGGUACGGCGGCAGACGGGUGACGUUCAGUCCACCAUGGGGCGUCGGUGCCGACCACUCCGCAAACAACAUCUGCACAACGACAUGACACGCGAGACGGUGCUGCGCGCUUCCCCUCUCCUUUGCGCCUUUACCUCCAUGAACACACGCGGCAGUGAGCCCCCAAACGCACCUGUCGGCCGUUGUUCUCGCCCUUCUUUUUGACGGUGCGGAUGACGCAGGCCUCGCCGUGCCCCGGGCACCUGCAGGAGAGAGCGACACAGAGCCGCCAGGCAAGGCGGGAAGGGAGGGGGCCAUUGAAACCUAAACAGGUGGCAGACAAGCCCCUGCAGCAGCCACAGUAUGCAGCCACCCACGCACACACACCCCCGCACACACACACACACACAUACACGCAACGACGCGCCCGCUCACCUGGGUGGUUUCAUCUGGUCCUGGAUCUGCCGCCACGCCGCCGCCACCACCACAGACCCCGGCUGUUGCUGCGCCUCCGCGCCGCCACCACCUCCCGCGCCACCACCAACGACAACCGCAGCAGGCUGUGCAGCUGCUGCUGCUGGCCCUGUGUUGGUGGCUGCUACUGCCAGCGGGGCUGCUACAACCGGCACUUGUCGGCCAGUGGUGGCGCGCGGCGAGUUGGGGCUGCAGCAGUCCGGUUGCGACGCCCCUGGCUGUAGCAGCACAAACUGUGGCUGCGACUGCGGCUGUAGCUGGGCCUGCUGUGGAAGUGAUAGCCCCGGGUCUACAGGGUCCUGGGCGGUCGUGCCUGCCGCCACAGCCAUGCCUGAUGCUACUGCCGGUCCCGUUGUGGGCGUGUCCCCGGCAUCACCCGUCAGGUCAAUGGUCGGCGCGCUACAGCCGCUGCAACCACCGCUGCCGCUACAGCCGCCGCUGCCGCUCGUGAGUCCGGGUGGCAUGGAGCCGGACAUGGGGCGUAGCAGCUGCGGUUGGCUGCGGCUGCUGCGAGGCGGCACGCCCGCACUUUGCGACCCAGCAGCAGCAGUGGCAGUAGCACUGGCACUGGACGUGGAGUGCGGACCGGGGCCCGGGUGAGGCCGCAUGAACAUGGUUAGCUUGCGCUGGCUGCUGCUACUGCCGCCGGCGGCAGAUGCGGCAGCAGCACCCUUGCCGGACUUGGCUGUAGCAGCUGCGCCCAACCCAGGGCGCGGCGGCAGCUGCGGCCUGCCCACGGCACCCACAGUGCCGCCGCCAGACGGCGGCGGCGCCGCCGCAGCGGCCUCGGCAGUAGCAGUAGCAGACGCGGGCCCCGCGGUGGCGGCUGUAGCAGCGCCGGCCCGUGCCAGGCAGGACAGCAGGGUGGCUUGGCGGCUGGCGUCGAACAUGAACCGUGUGCUCAGGGCCGGCGGCGGCGGCAGCGGCUGGCUACUGCUGGCUACCGCUGCCUGAGACUGCUGCGGCUGCCCUGCCGCCGCCGCGGACGCUGCUACAGCCGCUGCCGCCGCCGCCCAUUCCUCAUCUGGCAUCUCAAGGUCCACCCACAGAGGCGCGUGAUCGCUGCCCUGGAAGUCCACCAUGAUAUCCUGCGCGACAAAGGAAGUCACACAGACUGACAACAUUUAAGGUCAGAGCCGGAGAAGCAGGGUGUAAAAAGGAGCGCAGCAGGCUCCGGAGGUCAAACGCCGCAACGGCCAUUGUGCUUGCUCCCUACGCCGCGCUCCUCUGCAUCACCGAUGUGUUUUGCAAUCCAGUGAUGCGGAGCGAAAGAGCGACAGGUAAACCGCCCAACUUACCGCGCCAACCACCCACGGCAGGCAGCAGCAGCGGGGCGUCGCUCCCUCCACGCCGCCUCCAGCGCGCGCCCCAGCCCCGGACGGACUGCUGCCAUCGCCAGGGACUGCCGGCGCCCUGCCAACUGCAGCAGCGGCGCCUGCGGCGGCAGUUGCAGCACCUGCGGCAGUAGCAGCAUCUGCGGCCGCCACUGCCUCGGCUGUUGCCGCCGCCGCCGCCGCCACGGCUCCGGGCGUGCCGUCUGCGGCCAGUAUGAGGUCGAUGCGCGACCCGAAGUUGUUGACGCGGGCGCCGGAGCUGGUGUUCCAACACGUGUAGGCGUCACGCCUAGACGAGAGGGGCGAUUGAGGGAGAGGGCACAGGGAGGCGGGAGGGGAGAGAGAGGGAGGCCGCCGUGCGCAUGUGAGCGCAGGUGCGUAGGUGCCAAGGUGCUGGGGAGCUUACUGGGCAACAUGCCGGUGUGUAGGUCGGCGGCCGCAUGCACGCACAGCUGCGAGCAUCGCUCCCGGUCACCUGACACCAACUCCUACGCACGCACACGCACACGCACACGCACACGCACACACACACACGCACCGGGUCGGGUGAAAGGCCCGGAAGGUGUCCACAAAGGGCGGCAGCGCCUGAGCCGUCUGUGGCUGCGGCGGCCGCGAGCGCGCGCCGCCGCCUCCCGCCACCCCGCCGCCCUCCCCACCACCGCCACCGCCACCACCACUGCCGCCGGGCUCAUUGCCAGGCCCGAUGUCGGACCCAGGCGAAGCUGAGCGCUCCUCCCGCGCCUCCAGAAACCCUCCAGCCCCCGCCUCCACCUCGGCUUCUGCUUGCGCCUGCCGGAGUCCGUCCCACCACCCAUUCUCCUCCUCGCUCCCCGCAGCCUCCGCCUCCGCCUCCGCAUCCUCUGCAGCUGCUUCCAGGUCGGCACUCCCCAGCCGCCACAGAGCCGCCGCACCCGCCGUCGCCGGAGCGCCUACCGCCGCCGCCGCCGCCGCCGCCGCCGCCGCCGGACCACCUGCCGCCGCUGCGCCCCACUCCGCAUCUCCGACCGAGUUGGAGCCGCCGCCGCCACGACCUGGCCCCCUCCCGCCGCCCUCCGCCCCUCCCUCUUCCCCCUCCCGCUCCCCCUCCCGCCUCUGACAUUCCCGCCCCCGCCCCCGGCCCCCGCCCCGCCGCAACAGCGUGUUUAGCCACAGCCGGUCGGGCCGGUGCGGCUCAAAGGUGCGGGGUGUGGCUCCGGCCCUGUCCGCCGCUGCGGGGCUGAUGUUGAAGUCGCCCAGCACCACCAGCCGCCGGCCGGCCGCCAGGAAGCCGUCCAGGCGGUGCUGCAGCGCCUGACGCAGUGGGAGGCGUGGGGAGGGAGGGAGGGGGUGGACACCGUGCAUGAGGGGGUGUGCGGCAGGGUGUGGUGGUAUGCGGCAAGGUGUGCAGGUGUGGUGGCUGUGGAGGUAUGGUGGGGCUGCCGCGGGUUUGGACGGCGGGUUAAGUCACCGGGGGACACACGAGGUCGCAGCGGAGGUGCGGUUGUGAGCGCCACCGCCAUCCCUCAUUCCACCUUUCCUCCUCCAGUCCUCCUCCUCGUCUUCCCCCUCCCCCUCCUCCUCCUGCAGCACACCACCGUGACAAAGACACCCCUACACAUUGACCCCGCACAUGCACACACACGCACAUACACACACACACACACACACACACACACACACACACACCCACACCCACACCCACACCCUCACACACACCCACACAACUACAACCCCCCACACACAAACCAGCCCCACCCUGAAGAAGGUCAUCUUGAAGGCGCCCCGCUCCUCCGCGCGCUCCUCACUGGUGAUGGCGGGGCCGUACACGUUGACCAGCACCAGCGCCCCGUGCUCGGUGAUCACCACACGCCCCUCGCCGUCCAGAGCCCGGAGCUCCUCGGGACCCAGGCCCAGACCGGAGCCGCGCCAGAAGCGAGGGCCCGGCGCCGCGCCCACCGCCGGCGCCGCUGCGACCGCUGAGGGUGCGGGGGCUGCUGCGCCGGCCCCUGCAUCGGGUGAUGCUGACUGCUGCAGUGGUGGCAGGGGUGGAGGUGGCUGGGGGGCGCUGCCGCAGCCGUUGCCGUUGCUCCCGGGUCCGGGUCCGGGUCCGGGUCCGGGUGCUAGCAGGGCGCCUGUGAAUCCCUCCUCCGCCGCCAGCGGCAGUGCUCCGGGCGCACGACGGCAGAAGGUGGCCACUCCCGAGUAGCCCACCCUCCCGCGGGUGAAGGCGAAGAACGACUCCCUGCGUGCCGGGGGGCGCAGGGCGGUUGGACGGGAGCUCGGGGGGGUCAGGGAGUGGGGAGGCAUGUGUGCCGGAUUGCGCUACGUGCAGUGCCCGGCCAGUCUGCCCCAGCCACACGACCUGCCCAUUUCUACCCAGCCCUCGGGCCCCCACCUCGCCCCCAUCUAUCCCCCCCGCUUGCCCCCACCUUCGCCACCCCCUCGGCCACCCCCGCUCUGCAUAGCCGCCCGGCCUCUGCCCCCUGCACCCUGCCCCCUCGCACCAGCCAUCUGCGAGCGCCAGCUCCCGCUUCAGGUCAGCCCGCGUCAGCUUGUGCUCCUGGAUGCAUAGCACGUCAGCUUCCAGCGCCGACAGGAACUUGUCCAGCGAGCCAAAGUGCGCGAUUACUCUACGGAGUCCGUUUACGUUCCAUGAAACAAUCCGCAGCCGCAUUCUUGUUUGCGUCGGCCCGUCGCGCCGAAUUGCUGAAGGCGCCUGGCGUGGCCGCACUGACCUACAUUUAAAAUCUUUAGCACCCACGCUUUGUGAUAGACUGCAGAAACGAAAGAACCUUUAUGCCCAAGAUGAGAGUUGGAUGCACCGCAUAGCGCAUGGGCGCGCCAGGGCGCGCUGCCCAAUCCGAGCUUCCAUCGUCCCCUGGCCACGACUCCGCAGCACAAACCAGGCAAAGCAGUAUGUGUAUCAGAUGCCCCGCGUUCUCAGACACAUAACACAGCACGGGGCAGCGCUGGCACGUUAGCCAUGGAUGGACCCAACGUCGGCAGGCGGGCAGGGCCAGCAAUCAGAGAGUGUUCGCAUGUCCUGGUGCUUGUAUCUUCCCAAUAGAUGAUAACACAAACAAUAAGCGGAUAGGUGCCUGCGGCCCACAGCCACGGGCAGUUGACAGACGGUUGGCACGGCGCCUGCCAGGCGCCCACACAAACAACCCUUGUGCCCCGCAUCAUCCAUCUGCGCGUACAGUGAGACUCCGGGUAAAUAAGACAACUAAGCUGCAUGAAAAGGCCAUGGAGCAAAAGCCGUUGCCGAAGGAUGGUCUCAGCCUGCUCUGAAAGGGCCAAAGGCUGUUUCGGGCCUUUUGCAUCGUGGGCAGCGACUUGAUACAGCCUAUUAUAAACCGUGAUAUACUCUCACAUGUCCAAAACCUUCAGUAGUCAAGACUCAACAUAGCAACCAUGGAGGUUAAGCUCGCUCUAAUAUCAGCGGCGCUUGCUGCACUGGUGACCGCUGUUAUCAUGCCCUAUACCGAUCCAGAGGUAAAUCAAGAGUGCAUGACUAGUUUAGGGCGUCUACUAGAAAAUGCACUCGACGACCAUGCGCCGGUGCAGCUAGUUACUUGCCGCGGCUAUUGUUGUAUCGACAAGCAAAAGCUUAUAGCCAAGCCAUGCCGAUCUCAGCCACUCGACCCCUUACCCCACGUGAGCCCCCCUUUCCUCCCGCCCGCCUGUUCCUCCUGCCCUCUGCAGAACCUCGCCAAGCUCUCGCAGCACCCCGUGGCUGGUCUAGUGCUCAACACCACCGCCGAUGCCUUCUACGCCUUCGGCACCUGGGUCGGCGGCGGCGACGGCGACGACCCCGCCGCCGGCGGCCCCAGCCUCCGCGACUACUACCCCCUCACGCUGCCGCCGCGCGACCCCGUCAGCGGCAGCGCGCGGCAGCGGCAGCAGCAGCAGCGGCGGCGGCGGCGGCGCGUGGUGGAGCCGGAGCUGGAUUGGGCUGACCCGCGUGUGUGGGAGGCGCAGACGCUGCAGGCGCGGGUAGCGGCGGCGGGGGCGGGGGCGGGGGAGGGGGAGUCGCCAUACUACAGCGCCACCGACAUUGACACGCUGCUGGGCUGGUGCGGCGACCUGGCCACAAAGGCUGCAGCAACCGAGUCCACAACAGAGCCUACAACAGAAUCCGCAGCUGUAUCCGGAUCCGCAGCUGCAUUAGGAUCCGAAUCCGCAGCUGGGGCUGGAGCCGGUGCUGCGGGUGCCGCUGGCGGAGCUGCGGGCGGCGGCGGUGCGGGUGCGGGCACGGACGCGGCGGCGGCGGUUCACUUCCGUGCUCUGGUGCGGUGGCUGGCGGCUGCGGGCGGGGACGCCAGCAAGGUGGCGCCGGGGGUGGACGGCAGCGGCGUGCGCGGCCUACACGUGAGUGGGGGCCUGGGGGGUGGGGGGUGGGGGGCAGGAGGGGGUGGAGGGGGUGGAGGGGGUGGACAGGGGGUGGAGGGGUCGCGAUGCCUCGAUCUUCUUAUGCCAGCGGUGCUCCUUGCGUUUGGGGUCCCUUCAUUCCUCUAGGUUUGUGUGCUGGCACUCCCCCCCCUCCAAACAAUCCCCCCCUGCCGCCUGCAGACUCGUGUGGACGUGGCUGAGGGCGAGACGGUGUUGUCGGUGCCGCUGAGCCUGGGCCUGUCCAUUGCCAGCUUCAGAGCGGGUGCGGCGUGCGGGGCGUGUGCGGGGCGUGUGGUUGAGAGAUGGGGAGGUGGCGAGGUGGAGGCUGGGCGACGGGAGGAAUGCUUCUCAGUCUCGGAUUGGGCGCCCUGAUCUAUGCCACAUCCCUUAUCCCUCCCACCUCCUCCUUCCCUCCAUCCCUCCCCUUCCCACCUUCCUUUCCUCCCACCUUCCUCCCCUCCCCUUCCCUCCCCUCCCCUUCCCUCCCUCUCCACCCCCCCUGCAGCCCGCUACGCCGCCGCCGCCGUGACGGGCUGGUCGCGGCAGCCCUCUGCCGACCUGUUCCUGGACCCGCUGGCGCUGGCCUACGAGGCGGCGGUGCACGGCGCGCGCUCGCCCUGGGCGCACUACCUGUGCCUGCUGCCCAGGAGCUUCCCAGGACUGCCCAUGCACGCGGGGUGGGUGCGGGCCUGCGGGGGCGGGGGACAGGAGGAUGGGGGCGAGGGGUGGUGGGGAGUGGGGCAUGCGGCAUGUGGGGGAGGGGCAGGCGCAGGGUGAUGUUGUCGUAUCCCACACAGUCCACAUGCCCCUUGUGCUCCCUUCUCACACACACACAUACACAUAUACACACACACACACACACACACACACACACCGUAAACCGUCGCUUUGCUGCAUCGCAUACACUGUCUUUGCGCAAUGUUUUCCUUGUGCUCUUUAACACACGCACACACACACACACACACACACACACACACACACACACACACACACACACACACACACACACACACACGCACACAGGCUGUCUGACGCGCCGCUGCUGGCCCCCCUGCCGGGCCUGCGCCGCCUGGCCGCCAAGCGCCGCGCCGAGGUGGCCCUGUACGGCAGCGCCCGACUGGCCCGGGCCGCGCUGGCGGACAUGCCCGGAGGCCGCGCCGCGCUGCUGCGACUGGCCACCGCUACUGCCAACAACACGGCGGGCUCCGGCAGUAGCAGCGGCAGUGGCAGUAGCAGUGGCGGCAGUGGCAGUAGCAGCAGCGGGCGGGACCUGUGGAUGUCGCUGUGGCACUGGGCCUACGCGGCCGCCAAGACGCGCACAGUCAGUGUGGCGGCGGCGGAGCUGCGGGCGGGCGGCGGCGUCGGCACGCCCGGGGAGGACAAGCUGGGGCCCAUCAAGGUGCCGGUGGCCAUUCCCGAGUGGGCGGAGGUGAGAGCAGGGGGGCGGCCUGCUCAGCGGCUGCACUGCUGCUUGUGGUGACGGUGGUGGUGGUGGUGGUUGUGUUUGUUGGGUUUGUUGGGUUGGUUAGAACGCGAAGGCGCGGUUGCAAGCCAUUUGCUUGCAGUCACUUCGCCACCCUUCCAUUGUCUCUGACCGUCCUUUCGUUCUAAGCAUGGCCACAACCCUGCCCCCGUGCCCCGCCACCCCGCCCCACCCCGGGCCCCACCCCUUCAGGAUUUCGGCGUGAUGAUGCCGGUGUUGGACCUGGCCAAUCAUGCGUUCCUGGGCGAGGGCGCAAACGUGCUGUACGAGGUGCGUGUGGCCGCGUGCGUGUGUGUGUGUGUGUGUGUGUGUGUGUGUGUGUGUGUGUGUGUGUGUGUGUGUGUGUGUGCGACCGUCUGAGACCUCAAACCCCCGGUUGGGACGAAGGACUAAGCAGCCGCACCCUGCCCCACCCGCCUGCCCCGCUCCGCCACUCCGUGCUGCCACAGAUCCUGCCACCUAGCAACCCCGGUGACGGCUGGGCUGCGGUGCUGGUGGCGGCUCGCCCCAUCGCGGCCGGCGAGCCGCUGUUGUUUGACUACGUGGCGGGGGCGGAGGACGGCCCCAGCGGCCUGACGUGCACGGACAGGUGCGUGUGUGUGUUAAAGAGCACAAGGAAAACGUUGCGCAAAGACAGUGCGUGUGUGUGUGUGUGUGUGUGUGUGUGUGGUGGGUGGAGGGCGGGAGAGGGUGUGCUGCAUGGUGUGUGGGAAGGGUGCGGACGUCGCAGCUGCAGCGGAUGAGGUUGCACUGUUGCACGGGAAAAGUAGGGCUGAUGCGGAGCUGAACGUAUUGUGCAUGUGUACUCUGUCUCUCUCUGUGUCCCGCCAGGUGGCUUGAGGAGUACGGCUUCAUGCCGCACUCCUCCGACCCGCACCGCGAGUGUGACACAUUCGACAUCAGCCGGUCACAGCUAGCCGCCGCGCUGGCGCAGCUGCUGCCCGCCGCCUCUGGCGCCGCCGCCGCCGCCUCUGCAUCUACCGGCGACUCCCAGGGAGCGGCCGCGAGAGCGGCCGCGGGCGCGGCCGCGGGGGCGCAGGCGGGGUCGGGGCCGAGUGAGGCGCUGCUGGCGGCGCUGGUGGAUGCCGGACUGGCACGUGUGGCGCACGUGCCACCCAGCGCCGCCUCCUGGCCCAGCCCCAACACGGCCGGCGGCGCGGCGGCGGCGCCGGCGGCUGACCCGUCCUCGCCCCCGCGUCUGGAGGUGCUGGUGCGGGCGCCCAGUGCGGAGGAGGUGGAGGAGGGGUCGGGCAGCCACGUGCGGCAGCGGUGGGUGGUGCUGUCGUGGCUGGCGGAGGCGCUGCAGGGCGCCGCGGAGGCGGCGGAGGCGACGGAGGCAGCGCAGGUGGAGGCAGCGCAGGUGGAGGCAGCGCAUGUGGAGGCAGCGCAGGUGGAGGCGGUGGAGGCGGCGGGGGCGGGGCGGGCGUUGGCGGCGGGGCUGCGGCGGCUGAGUGACGAGCCGGAGGAGGUGUUGGCGGCGCUGCUGGAGGUACGGCGGCGGGAGCUGCUGCAGCUGGAGGCGGCGGCGAGGGUGGGGCCGGGGGCGAGCGGGCCUGGCGGGGAGCUGCGGCGGGGGGUGGUGGGCGUGGCGGAGGUGGCGCGGCGCGCGGUGGACCGGGCGCUGGCGCAGGAGCGGGCGCGCAUAGCCAGGUAGCAGCUGGUGGGGGGCUGACGGGGGCAGGAUUGGGCGGGGUCGAGGUAGGAAAGUUUUGACGCGGGGGUGGAUAAGUUGGUGGCGCAGGAGCAGCCUUGGGCCAAAAUGCUCGGCAGGAAGAGGCCCGGCCUGCACGGGAGAAGGGUAACAGUCGCCAGAGCGGGGCCCGGCGAGACAGGCUUAGGCACUGGCUGCUGGAUAUAGCUGCAUGCUGAACGGCCACCGCUUAUGCCAAAGUGCCGGAGGGCCGAACGAGGGCCGAACCCUCUUUCCGAGUCAGGAUGCCCGAAAUGAAGUGUGUAUGGCUUGCCGCCGGGCCGAGCAGCUGAGCAACCCGGUCGCGAUGUAUAUUGCAAGCUUAGUAAGCUGGUAACCUAGGCCUCAUAGACCGAACGCAAAGAACGCAAAGCGACGGAACGGUUGGUCGUGUUAUCUGCCAGCUAUAGAAACCGCUUUUUGGGAGGCGGGCAGACGCAUGCAGCUGAGCAGGCAUCGAGUAUAGUACCGCAUUAGCGCAUGUUGUAUCAUAUAUACAGAGAACCUCAGCUGCGCCGACUGAGCCCAUUUAACGUGACUCGCUAGACAUCCGCGACCAGCCAUGGCGCGCUCAAACACACCGCCGGUAAAAGCUAUCAGGUGGCACCUGAUGGAAGUAUGUCUUGCUAUUUUGCUGCUGGGCACAGUCGCUAUGGCAAAGGGGCCAGUUGCCGCGCCCGAUAAGCCCAUUCGCGUGUGUGUCCUGGACUCCCCGCCCACGGUGGGGCUCAAGAACGGUGUCAAGCUCAACGAUGGUCAGUCGCUGACGCCAAGCGCUGCCAAGGACAACCUGCAAGGCAUGGGAAUCGAUAUGGUGGUGAGCGUCGGGGCGCGGAUGCCAUCCGCAGCUAGGGCUGGCGGUUCUGUGCGGCGCGAUCGCUGCCGGGCGCAUUUGCAUCGUUGCUAUACAUUUAAUUGGCGUCUUCAUGUGAACGCGCUACAUGGCGAACCGUUUUAGCCAUCACGGAGUUGACCUUUUUGUCGGGCACGUCGCGUGCCGCUGACGCCCGUUCCCAUGCCCUCGUGUGCCCCUUGUCGCUGCCCCGCGCGGCCGCGCCCCUUGUCGCAGGACGUCCUGUUUAACCAGAUCCUUAAGUGGAACUUCACAAUUGUCUACUACACCUUCGCGCAAAUGGGCUUCUCGCGCAUUCUCUACGACGUCCGUGUCCAGGAGAACUGCGAUGGUGGGAGACGUGGCACGCGUGCCCCGGCGCUCGCUCGUGCACCAAGACUUUUUUUGCCGAACCCACCCACGUCCCCAUUCCCGCAGCUGCUGCCUUCGAGUACCGCUAGACGCUGACCUCGUGCAUUGCCGCCUUCAGUCCUUGCCUCCCUGCCCCCUCUCACCUUCCUUCACCUUCCUGUUUCCUUGUCCUGUCUCCUCCUACCUCCUCCCCACAUGCAGUUGCGGUUCAGUCGUUUUUCAUCUCCGCAAGUCGCGACCUGUGCACCAAGGCCUGCCCGCUGCCCGACAACAGCACAGUGCUGCAGUCCGACUCAGACUACGAAAAGGUGUGUGGGAGAGACACAGGUGGUGCAGCGUUACGGAAGGAUGGAUGUUGGGGACGGGAGCCCGCCCCAUGCUCUGCUGUUGCUCUUGCUCAUGCCCCUUCCCUGACUCCGGCACUGCUGCCGCCCCUGCUGCAUACAGUUCGCGUGCUGUGUGGAUUUCUCCCAGCCCUUCUACGACGGCGGUUGGACCAUCACCUCAAAGAUCUCCGACGGUUCCAACGGUUAGUGGGGGCGUCGCCGGAGCGAGGCAUCCCCAUCCUGCCUGCCACUUGCGCACCCCUGAUGAGCACGCAGCAGCCCUGACGCAGGACCCUACCUCUCGCACACACCCUUACUCACGCGCCCACCUGCUACCCCUCCCCGCCCCCUCCCCUUCCUGCUUGCCCCGCCGCAGUCAACUACUUCUCCGUGUUUUUCCAGCGUGACAUUGUGCACAUCAUCGCCGUCGCGGUGAUCACCACCUUUGUCAUUGCGCACGUGGUGUGGCUGGUGGAGCGAUGGGGCCCAGGCCACGUGUGGGUCGAGGAAGAGGUGCGGGAGAGCAGGACGGCGCAGGGGAAUCAACCCAUAUGCACACACGUGUACCGUGCCCAUCCAAAUGGACACUCGCUUACUCGCGCACACGCCCUUCACAUUCCGUACAUACUUGCUUGCCCUCCUUCCACAUCUUCCGUCCAGGAAGCACUUUAUUGCUCACCACCCGCGUUUCCAACCCAUUCACUGCUGCAUGCAGGACGCUGUGGUUGACCCCAACUCCGACCUUGCCUCCAGCGCCUUCUCCAGCAAGUACCUGGAUGCGCUACGUGACGGCGUGUGGUUCUCAUCCAACGUGCUGCUCAACGGAGUCAUUGCGCCCGAGAAGCGCAUCCGCACGCCGCUCGGCCGACUGAUUAUCACUGUGUGGGUGAGUUGUGCGUGUUGUGCGCGCGAGGGUGCGGCGUGGCAAGACCCGCCGGCCGCGGGAGUGUUGAGCUUGACCCAAUGACCCUUCCUGUGCGCAUGCAGUCUACAAUUGUCCCUUGGGCUCUGUCGUGCAUCUAGCUUUAUCCUAAUGCCCUCUGUCCACACACGCACACAUACUGCCGGGCAAGGCUACAUUUGUCGCAAUAGCAGUAUAGGCUAGUGUAAAACACCGUGCGCACCAUGGUAUGGGUCCCCUUCAAAGUAGUUCGCGUCACUGUUCGCGUCUCGGCACUCGCGUCACGAUACGCGGUCAGACGCCCCCUGACGCAUCCUGACGCGCUGAGACGCGCCGAGACGCGAUUUUCCCGUCGUUACAGUGCGCAGUGUCCCUUGGGCACUCAUCUACACACCCUCACCCUCUUCCAACGCCCUCUCCCCAACCACACACUUGUGCGCAGGUGCUGUUUGGCAUCUUCCUGAUUUCGUUCGUGACCUCCAUUAUCUCGUCCACGCUGACGACCGCCCAGCUGUCAGCCAGCCAGAUCCUAACCGCUAACGACCUGGCCGGUCGCACGGUGUGCCUGGAGGAGGGUGAGCCAUACGCGCAUGUGCCGCCAUUCUCAUGCAGUCUAUCACUUCGCCCCGCGCCCUUCCACCGCCUCAUCCCUUCCCUCCUCUUUCCACUCAUCCGCUCGCUCAUCCCACUAGGCUUUUACAACUUCUUCUUUGACUCCAACUUUCCUGGAAUCGGCGUGUCCAAGGUGCUCGUGCCGCACCUCUCAGACUGCUUCGAGGUGAGCACGCACGCAGACUGGACUGCAACCUUCGGCCCUUCCCUCCUUCCAAUAUACACGCGCCAACCGGCCACCUCUUCUCCUCAAUCCCAACCCCCUCCCUCAUCAGGAGCUCAAGGGCGGCAGUGCCGAGGCCGUGUUUGGCGUCCGUGACUACUCCAUUGACUACUUCUCCCAGGGCAAGGGCCGCGGUCUGCUGGUCUCGCCCACCAUCUACCCGCAGCCGUACGGCAUGGUCUGGUCGCAGAGCUGGGAGUACGGCAGUGCCGUGAACGAGGCACUGCUGCUGUACCGCGAGGUGAGGGGGCUAGUAGCGUGUGUUCAUGUUGUGCUCUAUCAAAGCCGCCUUGCCUGGCGCAGCCCUGCUACCCUGCCAUAACUCGUCACGACACGCGCCCGUGCCGUACCCGUGUUUACCCCACCCCACCAGGACGUGUACGCCACCACCCCCUCCUACCGCGACUCCAAGCGCCGCUGGUACGCCGGUGAUGCCAGCCAGAUCGCCUACGGAGGCACGGCCAAGCAGGCACAGAAGGUGAGAGCGGAGGUGGCGUGCGUGUGUGGAUGGGCUCAAGAAAGAUCGAUGUGUGCACGUCUGGGUUUCUUGACUCGGAUUGCCCUGCAAUCACCCGGCCGGCCUCUCUUUCUUUUCGCAUGCGGUAUGAUAACAUCUUCCCACCCCUUGCGUGUGCGUGCCCCGCUUCCCUCCUCCCUAUGAUCCAGGUUUGGAACUGGGCCCUGGUGUACACGGCUGUGGGCCUGGUGGCGGUGUACGUGUGUCUGCAGGUGCUCGUGUACAUCGGCGGCCGCUUCGCACACGACGCGGCAGACGACGAGGAGGAUGUGGCUGCCACCGGCAGCGGCGACCUCCGCACCGACUCCGGCCACAGUGGCGCCAGCCUCACCCGCGCCAAGUCCGUCAAGGCCGCGCUUGGCACCUUCGCCAGCAAGAUGACGGCACGCCAGCCCUCCACCCGCGUCACGCCCAACCACUCCACCGGACAGAUCGCCACCCCCUCCUUCACCGCACGCCAGAUGAUGCUGAGCAGUGGUGUAAGCGAGAAGGCGUUGAUGAUGGCUUCGCAGCCAUCUCUCAGCACCAUGGGCAGCCAGAUGCUACCACUGCCCGGCAUGGGCAUGGGCAGCGGCUCCGGCGGUGGCGCCGUGCCGGCUGUUGUCAUUCCCAGCAACCGUGCCCAGACACUGGGCAGCGGUGGCGUGCUGAAGACUGCGAACGGCAGCGUCGGUGGCAAUAAGGGCAACGGCGUAGGUGGCGGUAGCAGUGGCGGCGUGCGCAGCCCCAGUUUCAUGCUGCGGAGCGCGGCUGGCAGCGCCAGCCGUGUGCGCAUCGUGACUGAGACCAGCAACCGAGUGGAGGACUUCCGGCAGGAGGAGGACGGCGGCGGCGGAAAGCAGAGCGUGUGAUUGAUGAGCUAGACAUGCAUGAUGGCGAGCGAGCGGCCUGCGGGGAGCUGCUGUUGCUGUGGUACUGGAUGGGUUGCUCCGGUGUGCGUGCGUGAGUGCGUCUGUGAUGAGGCACCGGUGGGUGUGGCUGGCAGGUGUGAACGCCGUACGAAGCAAGGGUUCCUAAUUGCGUGCAAUUGUGACGGCAUGCCAGUGGGCACUUGUAAUUCAUGGGAUGCGGAUUCAACCUCACCUACCCCCCAGUGUAACAGGUCCCCCAACCAGAUAAUGGCUGGGGUCCAAAGGUUGUGUCAAUUUGGGACACUGCCCAAAACUGAAGUGAGCCCGGGUUGCUGCUGCUGCUGCUGCCGUGCUGCUGCAUGUCGAUCGAUGACAGCUAGCAGUCAGCAGGCAAG
rnacentral:lncRNA from 1 species